GCGCUCGUAGCUCAGUAGGAUAGAGCACCGGUUUCCUAAACCGGGGGUCGCAGGUUCGAAUCCUGCCGGGCGCA
rnacentral:tRNA from 1 species